rnacentral:snRNA from 1 species
AUACUUACCUAGCGCCGAGGAUACCUCGAUCAACAAGGUGGUUCCUCCAGGACGAGGCUCGGUCAAUUGCACUUCGUUCGAGCUAAACGUUGCGAAUAUCCCUAAUGUGGAUAUCUCGGGUGUAUUAUUUUUGGUAGUUAUUACUUGUCAUUUU